rnacentral:pre_miRNA from 1 species
UGUUAAAAUUUGUAUCCAUUCCUACCACUAAAAAUUGGUUUGGCUAACAAAAUAAUUAGAAAGCUAUACAUGACACCACAUGUACUUUUUUUUGACAUACACAGAUCAUUUUUUAACAAUAAAAAUAAAUAAAAUUUCUAAUA